CAGUCGCCGCGGUAAUACGUAGGGUGCAAGCGUUAAUCGGAAUUACUGGGCGUAAAGCGUGCGCAGGCGGUUCGCUAAGACAGAUGUGAAAUCCCCGGGCUUAACCUGGGAACUGCAUUUGUGACUGGCGGGCUAGAGUAUGGCAGAGGGGGGCAGAAUUCCACGUGUAGCAGUGAAAUGCGUAGAGAUGUGGAGGAAUACCGAUGGCGAAGGCAGCCCCCUGGGCCAAUACUGACGCUCAUGCACGAAAGCGUGGGGAGCAAACAGGAUUAGAUACCCCCGUAGUCCCUGUCUCUUAUAC
rnacentral:rRNA from 1 species